AGAGUUUGAUCCUGGCUCAGAAUCAACGCUGGCGGCGCGCUUAACACAUGCAAGUCGCACGAGAAAGUGGAGCAAUCCAUGAGUAAAGUGGCGUACGGGUGAGUAACACGUGGAUCAUCUACCUCUUAGUGGGGAAUAACCCUGGGAAACCGGGGCUAAUACCGCAUAAGCCUGCAAAGGGAAAGCAGCAAUGCGCUGAGAGAGGAGUCCGCGGCCGAUUAGCUAGUUGGUAGGGUAAUGGCCUACCAAGGCAAUGAUCGGUAGCCGGCCUGAGAGGGCACACGGCCACACUGGCACUGAAACACGGGCCAGACUCCUACGGGAGGCAGCAGUGGGGAAUCUUGCACAAUGGGCGAAAGCCUGAUGCAGCGACGCCGCGUGAGCGAUGAAGCCCUUCGGGGUG
rnacentral:rRNA from 1 species